rnacentral:misc_RNA from 1 species
AGGUGUUGGCAACUGUUUCAUAAUAAAGUGAUGCAUGGGACACACCUACCUGACUUCCAUCAGCAUGUCCAUAUAAAUUACUACUUGGGACAGUAACUGUGUGUCCAUAAUAUUGAAAAUUAGGAUCUGGAUAGGGUAAGUUGUAUUGUUCUGUGUAUGGGUAUGGUUGAUGUGUCUCUGGAUAAGAUGGAAGCAGAGGAUACGAAGAUUCAGGAGGCUCAUCAGGUGGUGGCGGAGGAGGAACUUGUUCACUGUCGGGAGGAGGUGGAGGUACCUGAUCACUAUCAGGCGGUGGUGGUGGAAUCCAAUCCUCUUCUGGGGGAGGUGGAACACUUGACUCAUACCCUGAUGUCAAAGUUGAGUACUCUGCAGGCGUAUUUGGCAGACUCAAUUGCUUGGCUGGAGCAACAAACUUGGUGCUUGAAUCAUCUCCCAAAGCUGUGAUGCUUACUGGGACUCCAUCUUCAACUUCCAUGUCAACAUCCAUAACAUCUUCCCCAGAAUGAAACUCAUGAUCUGGGCAUGGAGUCACAUUCGCUCUUUCACCAACCACAGCACCACCUUCUAAAUUUCCAUUAGGUGAUCCCAAAGAAGAAAUAUGUCUACCAUAUGCAUUUUCGCAAGGAUCAUCAUGUGAAUCAUUCUCAACAUCGGUAGCAACACUUGCAAAUUCAGAUUUCUUAUUGUUUUCACAUCUAUCUGAGUUAGAAUGAUGGCCCACACUUCCCCAAGACUUUUCCUUUUCCUCAAAAGAAACAUUGGCAGUUGCCUCAACAUCAUCAUCCAUUUGUGCAGAUACAGCAAGGUGGUAUAUUUCAUUGUUAAUAACAUCUUCUAAUCGUUUAAGCUGCCUUUGAGAAUGGACCCAAAAUGGGAGCAAAGCUGAUCCAUAAGAUGACAGUGACUUGAUAUCAGAAAGUCUAAUAUCUACUUCUAAAAUAUAUUUUGACAUCUGGUCAUGACAUUGCAGGCGGCUCCCAUAUCCUUUUAGUGACUUCAGUCUCUCCAACAAACACUCACAGUGUCUCAUAAGAUCAGUAGAAAGAUCCAUCCCUUUUUCACCUAAGAGAAAAUUAGCUGCACUGAGGUUACUUUGUGAGUCAUUUUCGUACGCAUCUGUCACCCAAUUUUUAUCUUUCAGGGACUCAAUUUUGCAUCCUUCAACUAACUCAUCCAUUUGUGGCCCAUUACAAAGAACUUCUUGGCUUUGAUUAAUCAAAUUUGCACCGAUUGAACCAUCUAAAGUUAGUGCAGCAGAAGCAUUAUCCAAUCCAAUGCCUAAAGUUGAGCUAACCUCAUUUGUAUCCACAGAAGCAGUUUCCACAUUUUCAUUUGCAGGAGCUUUCUGGUCACAGAUCGGUGGAGUAGUCUGAGCC